CAGCGUAAGGCUUUCUCUCUACAGGCAAAACUUCUGUUGGCUUCCUCCUCUGCAUACUACGUAGAUGCUACCGCCAUCGCCACACUUCAGCCGCUGUCAUCCCUCCCUCUUUCUCUCUCUGGGAUGUAGAUAUAAGCGAUCUUGAUAUGUCGGAGAUCGCGGUGAUGGUCCCUCAUCGCUGCCUAUCUCCAUCAUCGACGUCGCCAUCUCUGUCUCUUGCCCAUUUCUGUGCCAUCUCCGCCGCCGUACCUCGAAACCCUAGAAAUUUAUCACCAUGGUGAGGAUUCGCAACGACUCCUUCGGGUUAGAGUAGAACAACCAUAGUCGAAGCUCCAAACAAACACUUGUUCUUAGUUUUGGUCCUAGAGGAGAUUUCUGACCUUAGCUGACUGUGCAUCGACCUCUCUCAAGUUGAUUAGGACUCCAUCUUCUGGUGAAGAUGAGGUUUUAAACAGAGAUCCCUGUUAAGGCACUUAUCAAAAGCAGACCCCCAAUUCGAAAGAUACCUCUUUGAAUUCUUAAAGAACUUUCAACUCCAAUCCCAACCAGGUCAUUAGGAUUUGAAUCCCUAAUUCAAUUCGGUCACGUGUUAACACCCGCCUGGUCGAUCUGGUUUGUGCAAGUGAUCUGUUCUACCUCUGGAGCUAUCGGUGAUCAGGUGCGGGACCAGGCUUAAGCUGUUGCUUGGAGGUCUAUCUUGUCAAGCCAACUGAUAUGCCUCCCGAGGAGGUUCCCAAGUGUUUCUGUGGUCAAGUCAAGUGCACGUGAUGUCUGUCUUUAUCUUCUCUUUCUUUUGUUUAACAAGACUUUUGUUUAGUCUGUAUAUGAGGCCACGUCCCUUUCUGUUUUGUUUAUAAGUGGGUGACGUAAGACAAUGAUGUAUAUGUACUUAUGACGUCACUAUAUAAAUAUAUA